UCAGACACUUUGAUAGUAAAAUUUUUUUUUAGAGAAAAUUACGUACAUCAUUCUACAAACUAGAUAUUAAAAAGAAAAAUCAAUCAGAGGAAAAUCAGAGAACAACAAAAAAAAUUAAAAAGAGGAAAAAAUGAAUCAAAUUGAAUUUGAAUUCCGCUCGAGUUUCUGGUGAUAGCAUCUUGCUUCCGUAUUCAAUAAGUUGGAACACAGAUGAUGAGAGAGCAUACAGGUUCAGAUUGGGAUGCCACAAAAAAUACAAUCAUUGCAGAUGACGAUUGGUGGGAGAAAAAGAUUAAGUUAAAUGAAGAGUUUGGAUAUUAGCAUGUCUCCUGAUUUAAGUGACUUAUUAGAUGAAGAAGAUGCAAAACUAAAAAAAGUUCGCAGAGAGCAAGACAAGGAGUGGAUAACUUUGUUUCAACUAGCAGGAUUGCAUUGGAGCACUUGAAGGCACACAUGUUAAAGCUAGAUUGCCGCAAGGUCAAGAAAUACCGUAUAUUGAUCGUAAAAGUUAUACGAGUCAAAAUAUUCUUAUCGUUAUAGAUUUUAGUAUGUAUUUUACAUUUUUAUGGGCUGGGUGGGAAGGGUCGUCUCAUGAUAAUCGUAUAUUUCAUGAGGUUCUUCGUAGACAAGAAUUCAACUUUCCACAUCCAUUGAAAAAUAAAUAUUAUCUAGUUGAUUCUAGAUAUUCACACAUGAAGGGAUACAUGGCUUCUUAUAGAGGAGAUAAUGUGAGAUAUCAUCUUUCUGACUUUCGACAUGAUGCAACACGAUAAUUGCAGGAGCCAAGAGGAUGCAUUGAAAAAGUUAAUUAUUUACAUUCAUCUUGUAGAAACAUAGUGGAGCGCAUAUCUCAUGUUUGAAAAGUAAGGUGAUCUAUUUUACGAGACAUGUCUUACUAUAAUAUUGACAUCCAAAAGGAUAUCAUAAUUGCUACUAUUGUCAUUUAUAAUUACAUUAGAAAGAAGUGCAGUGUGAUUAAUGCAAACGGUUGAGAAUGAAAAAUAUAUUCCAUCGAUUGAUUUUGGUUUAGGCACAACUUCAAGGGCUAACAAUAUAGAUGACAAAAAUGUGAGUGAAGAAAGUAAUUUGUAUUCGGUGGGACUUCGUGAUAUGAUUGCUAAUGAUAAUUGUAAUGCUUAAUGCUUGUAUUAAUUGAAUAUUUCUACUUUUUGUAUUUAUGUCGAGCUUAAC